rnacentral:rRNA from 1 species
ACGUAUGGUGCAAGCGUUAUCCGGAUUUACUGGGUGUAAAGGGAGCGCAGGCGGAAGGCUAAGUCUGAUGUGAAAGCCCGGGGCUCAACCCCGGUACUGCAUUGGAAACUGGUCAUCUAGAGUGUCGGAGGGGUAAGCGGAAUUCCUAGUGUAGCGGUGAAAUGCGUAGAUAUUAGGAGGAACACCAGUGGCGAAGGCGGCUUACUGGACGAUAACUGACGCUGAGGCUCGAAAGCGUGGGGAGCAAACAG